GGUCUUGUGGUCUAGUGGUAUGAUUCUCGCUUAGGGUCCACCCUGAGUUUACACAAUAGCUUGCGAGAGGCCCCGCGUUCGAGUCGCGGCAAGACCC